AGCCCGAGUCGCUAAGAAUUGCACGUGUUCCCUGGCAAGGUUAAGGGAAACCCUCAAACGACCAAGCAGUGAGGGAGGCGAGGUGUUCAGGACCCGAGCCCCGGAUGCUAAAUAAGGACUGAGGUAAAACUAAGGGGGACCGCAUGGCCUGGUGACCCCGCCGCCCCCGAGGCCCUGCCGGGCUCGGUGGGUGCCGUGACAUCAGCUGCCAGACGUUGCGGUCUUAACUGGAAAGAGAAGGCCCGAUUCCCGCUGAUGACCCCAAGGGGAGAGAGCUCCGAGAUCCUCUUUCUAGAAGACAGAACCCCGAAUAAAUGGUUAUGGCUCCAGACAAUAUGCUUGAGUAAGAACAAAGACUGUGCUUCUGCGGAAAUGACCUCAAUGGCUUCGUAAGAAAUUAGUAGGUUAUGGGGACCAAAUUGUCAUCUAGGGUUUUUCAGUUGCACAAUCACAGUUCUCUGGUCAAGAAACUCUCCAGCCUCUGGGGGACGAAGGGAUCCACUUUGAAACCGACUAGUCCUUGGCGGGGGAAGAUGCUUCGCCAGCGUGAAAUGCCCAGAAAUAACGGGAUGUCACCAUCCCAGUGACCACCCAGGAGCCACUGUGCAUUUUACACACUGGAAGGGAGACUCGGCUGACGCCCAACAGGAAGGAAUCACGCUGCUGUCAAAGCUCUUUAAAAAGCUUUUAAGGAUGAAAUGCUCAAUUCGAAAGGAAGUAUCUAUGAUCUAUGUUCCUUAUUAAAAUAAUUUUUUUAUUCAUCUGUUUAGAUCAUUCUCCUUGAAAAAGAUGGAGGUAAUUACUUUUAUUAUUUUUUUAUCUUGCCUUAAAAGUCUAGGAAUUGGAUGCUUAUAGUUUGGAGGUAAAGCUUCUCUGAGAAAAAUAGGACGUUUUGAAUUCUGCUAUCUUGACCUUUGCUAAAAUAAGAAACUAGAAAGCCUACGUCUACCACCAGGCACAAGAUGAGGUCACCAUAUGUCCCCCCUGGGCUGUGCGGGGGGUCACAGCCACAGGAUUGGGCAAACCUUAUUAAAUAGCUUUGAUUUUAGAGGCCAUGGUAGCCUGAACAAUGGAGACGCUGACGUAUCUCUGGUCAAGGACCUCUGUCCCCACUUCCUUCUUCUGGACACCUCCCAGUCCCCCCACCCCCACCCUCAUGCUCCCUCCAGUGCCUGGGGAAAAAAAAAAAAUCCCUUCCUUCUCCACCUCUCUCCCUCACCUUGCUCGAAAUGAUGUACCUGAAAGUUGCUAGACGUUCCUAAGUGCUCUCAAAGUGGCCCCCAUCCCUGGAGGCUUCCCGCCGGGACACGAUCGAGGGGUCACCAUCCAGCUAUAACCGGGUGGGGUCAUUUUGCCAUGAAAAUAGCCAUACUCUCUUGUAUUCCUGAAGGGGUGGCACAGGCACCAAAUUGCGCGGACUCGCUCCCCCCCCCCCCCGGGGGGACCCCGUGUUCACAGGUCAUCAACUGUCACAUAAACUGUGUCAUAGAUGUAACCUGUGCGGGCCCAGCAGGAAUCCCAUCUGUCACUUGACAAUGAUGACUACAUCCUCAUUUUUCCCACUCAUGUUCCUUAGCGUAGACUGUCAGAGGUCACGUGUGUUACACGUACCGGCUUUGUGAGGCAAACCCAGGCAAAGACACGUUUCGGCUGAAGUUAUCCGGGAUUAUUGCCUGCAGCGUCUAUGUUGCCAAACAGAAGCAGCAGACUGGUUGGUGAUGCUGCUGACUAAGCGAUGCAUGUUUUCACAUCACCUGUGCCAUCUCUGUUGCACAUGAUACACAAUGAAAGAUCUUGAACAUGCCAAGUGGAGAAAACUGUGGUGUGGAGAAUAAAGUUUGGUUUGUGGAUCCAAGGAUAGGCUUUCCUUAGGCAAACGUUCUGUCUGAUACACAAAUGCUGACUAAAUCCCAUCCUUCCAAAACCAGUGACUCCUUUAUAAAUACUUAGGAAAGAGCUCAACUGAAACUUGCCAAGUCAAACAAAAUAUAUUUACAACGCCAGAAGGGAAUGACCUCCAAGAUUUCUUACAUGGACAAUUUGGAAUAGUAUCUCACCAAAGGAUGAUGUGCCACUUUUUGGUUUUGUUUUGUUUUUCCCCAAAAAACAAAAUGUAAUCCUAUAUCCCAGGAGGGCAAAAAGGAAUGUGUGAGCAUUUGUUCGUGUGGGUUCGAUCAGCGAUUCCUGGGAUGAGAAAGACAGAACAAUGAGCCAACAUCUCCGUUUUCUUGAAAGCAAAGGUCCCCUCAUUAACGAAAUGUAGACUACUGUGUAAACUUCCUUGUAAAUUCUGUACAUAGUUCUGGCUUGUUCCCUGUUGCGUGGUGGUCCUGGGCGUCAGGGGUGUCUGGCCAAUCUGAGCACUGUAAAUAGUGGACGCUUACAAGGCACUUGCUUUCAUCCACGGGGUGAAGCAACUAGCGACUUGGGCCAGCCAGACCCUUCUAGCUCUUGCUCUUUCUCUGCCAUUUUGUGUGUGCAGCUGUGUACGCUGCCAGGUGUCCGUGCCCCCCCCCCGUUCCCCCCCCAGGGAAAAAGACAGCAGCCGCCCAGCAGGUGCUCUCCUGUGGGGCCCAGGAACGACCCACCCGCAGAGACGGGGACUGCAGCCACCUGCUCCUGGAACCGUGUCAUGAAAACUAGACGUGCUUUGGUCAGGCAUUCGUGGCUGUGCAUAUAUCAGGAUCCCGAAGAGUCCACGCUGUCGAGGGGUCAGGAACGAAAGACACGUUUGAAAUCCACAGGUCAUCCGAAGCUUCAUUCACACCAGUAGCUUUAGUUUCUAACUUCUUUUUCCUUCCACAACGUUUCCCAGAACGUUUACUAUAAAGAACAGAGGUGAAUGGAUAGGUUUGAUCAGGGUCCACACACAGUCAAAGGGCCCAGUGAGGGGAAGGAGCAAAGGAAGAGACAAGUGACACUGAAAUACCACCUGGCUGGCCCGUCCCUCAAAGAUGCAGAGGUAACUGUGUCGCUGUUUCUAAAUGGGAAAGAGAAGUAUUGGGAAUUAAAGCAAGUGCUUGUCAACUGGGGGCCCGAGAUGUGUUUGUCGUGUGCUAGUUAAACGUAGAAUCCAGUGAUUAAAUAUUUUCACAUAUAUUUCUCCCAAGUCCUGGUAAUUCUUGAAAAAGACUUCAGAGUGGUGGGAUAUUCAGCCGUAAGAUGUAUUUUCUUGCCAGCUGGUAGUCCCAGAGAAGGUGACGGUGUCCGCAGAAAUCCAGAAUAUCUUAGCAAGCUGGGACACCGAUUGGUCUCUAGGUAACAUUCUAGAAGGCACCACGUCUUCCUUGGAGUGAAGCACUUAGCAAGGUAGACCCUUUUUGUGCCAGGAUUUUACGUACCCAGAGAAUCCUUUUGGCUCCCAAACAUGCUAGCUAGUGUCCACUGAUAAUCAAACAAGACAGAUGCCCUGUAGGAACUAACCGGGUCAGUCAGUUUCUAGAUCCAGAAUCCACUGAGCUUUGACUUGGAUCAUGGUCUGUCUACGUAACUGAAACCAACUAAACUGACAGAAGCUUAAUUGCUAAAGGUGGUAACUUCACGAGCAACAUUUGAAGGGAAACCCUUUUUAAUAGAAGUCGUGCAAGCCCCAAAAAUACUAAGUUCCCAGAAGGGUAAGGAUAAAGGGUCUUUGAGUCUGUUCUUACUUCUCUGGCAGCAGGAAUUUCCUUAACUGAGCUGACGAGGUCCAACAGGUGUUCGUUUUGUUUUGCUUUUUUUCAUCCAAAAGUCUUUGGUGCACCAAGGGGCUCCUCACAUCAGUCCUGACUGGCCCCCGGCUGCCUGGCAUAUCCUGAGGCAACCAGCACUCCUCACAGAGAUUUCAGUAGGAAUUGGGUGUGGGGAGAAAACCUCUAUUUUCGAACCAGUUGGAAGGAAAACCAUUUUCAUGUUCGACGCUGCCUGCAUAUCCUGUCCUGAAGACAACAGAAAAAUAGAUCCGUAAAAGAGAGGCCAAAUAACACGAUGCCUUUGCCUUAGGUACACAGGGUCACAGAUUCACUAGCUUAGAACCGCUCCCCUUAGAAGCCAAAGGAUGAAUAAGAGCCAUCGGUCGGAUUGCCAUCUGGCUUUCACCCCUCCCUGGUUCCCUUUUGAAGAGAAACAGAAAAGGGGGAACGUUUUCCAAUGUGACUUUUUUAUAGGUGAAAAUCGUUAAAAACAUGAUACGUGUGUGCACUGUGCAGGUUUGGCCGUGUAAAGUAGAUUACCUCUCUCGUGUUCAUUCCUUCUCGGAACUGUAUGCCAUCCUGCCUCAUGCCUUAACCCAGUGAAAUCAAUUCAUUUUUUCCUCUUUCUCAUUCCAAACCUCCUGAAUUCUCUUGCCCAAACACAGCUGAAAGCUUCAGCUUCUUUGAACUUACUGUGUCUUCUUCAACUAACAAAAACAAUGAAUUUUAAUAAUCUCCCCAAAUUCCUAUUCCAAUUGCCUUUAAAAGGUCUUGGGAGGUUACUUUGUGUAAUCAUGGUAGCCUCCUCUGCACCGCCGUGGGUUGUUUUUCUUUUCUGCUUUUUCUGUCCUUUAUGUAAAGAGUACAUGUUUACAUAAACCUUGUCUCCUUCAAUGAUUUAAAAUAAAGUGGAAAUAAAAA
rnacentral:lncRNA from 1 species